UACGUAGGGGGCGAGCGUUGUCCGGAUUUAUUGGGCGUAAAGAGCUCGUAGGCGGUUUGGUAAGUCGGAUGUGAAAUCUCCAGGCUCAACCUGGAGGGGUCAUUCGAGACUGCUAUGACUAGAGUUCGGUAGAGGAGUGUGGAAUUCCUGGUGGAGCGGUGAAAUGCGCAGAUAUCAGGAGGAACACCCGUAGCGAAGGCGGCACUCUGGGCCGAUACUGACGCUGAGACGCGAAAGCGUGGGGAGCGAACAGG
rnacentral:rRNA from 1 species